rnacentral:lncRNA from 1 species
AAAAGGCUUAUCAAAGUUGGGGUACUCACUUUGUUGAAUAUGGGUUUUCAUUUUUUAGAUUAGGGAUUAGGGAAUUGAGGAGGAAGGGUUAUGAGUUUGGAGCAGCCAACCUUCAAGAUGGGGAUGUCCAAACGGUGAGCUCUGGUGGAGGAGGGCGUCGGCGCUGCCGUCCAAUGCCGAAGCGAAAGGCGCUGCUCCGGGAGUCUCCGUCCAUGGUGGUCAUCACGUCCUAUCGCGGAGGAGCCUCAAUGGCAGUCCCAACUUCUUUUCUCUAGUCAUCACGCUGGUGGCCUCCUGCACCUCACCAACCUCUCACUGUAUCCCUCAAAUAUAGGUAUGAAUUUGACAUCCUUCUUCUUCUUCGUGAGACCGAAUAGGUCACGCAUGUGUCUGCGGUGAAGCUUACAGCUUCCAAUGAUGUCGAUUUUGGAGGAUACAUAUGGCUUUCCCUUAUUCAUUCUGGUUCGGGUCAGUCGUUUUCGUUUGGCUGUGAUGGGUUUUGACGCAAAGGAAAUCGGGUUGGAAAAAGCCUCGUAGUGUCCCGUUAUGAGGUUAGCUGAGAUUGUUUUUGUUUUUAUUUGCUGAGUAUAUGAAUACCAAACUGGUCGUGUGUUGUCUUUGGUUCACUCAUUCAUUUUAUGAAAGCACAUUGUAGGUUAUGAUCCUGGGGAUAUCAGUUUAUGAAUACGUUUUUUAUUUUUUGAUUUUUUAGUUCUAGCAUGCAUAAGUUGUUUAUGAUAUGAGUAUCUAUGUUAUAAAUAGCAAAACAUGCUUAUGGAUGUGAUUUUAUUGAAUCUUUCUUAACAAUUGGAAUGAUGUUAUAUGAGGAUUCUUACGGAUGCAGUAACAAGUACUAACCAGGAUUUCCAGAUACUGCUAUUGCUUGCCUUAUACUUGCCCAUCUCCUACACACCAAUGUUGUGCACCCGGUUGAGAGCUGAAGAAUCCCCUGGUCCCUUUCUGGAUAUAUAUAUUUUUUGUUUUUUGUAUGUAUCAAUACUGAUCGUGUGCUACUUACU